rnacentral:misc_RNA from 1 species
GAUGAAGAAUGCAGCGAAAUGCGAUAAGUAAUGUGAAUUGCAGAAUUCAGUGAAUCAUCGAAUCUUUGAACGCACAUUGCGCCCCCUGGUAUUCCGGGGGGCAUGCCUGUUCGAGCGUCAUUUCACCACUCAAGCCUCGCUUGGUAUUGGGCAACGCGGUCCGCCGCGUGCCUCAAAUCGACCGGCUGGGUCUUCUGUCCCCUAAGCGUUGUGGAAACUUUCGCUAAAGGGUGUUCGGGAGGCUACGCCGUAAAACAACCCCAUUUCUAAGGUUGACCUCGGAUCAGGUAGGGAUACCCGCUGAACUUAAGCAUAUCAAUAAGCGGAGGA